UGUCUAAUUAUUACCCAAGAUCACAUGACGAGGAGCAGGAGAGCCAGAUCUGAAAGGCCUUCUCCAACCCCAGGCCCAUAGGACUACCCGCUGUGUAUGUAACCUUUGCAUAACUGCCUGGGCCCCCAGACCCCUCACCCUGCCACCUUCUUGUCACGCCCUCUCUCUCUGUGGCCUUUUUCAAUCCAGAUUGCAGUGUGCUGGAAUUCCACCCUCCAUGCCCAAAACUCACCACGCUUUCUGUAAUUAAAAUUUAGUCCAUUUGAACAAAGCCUGGAACCUGACGAUUCUGCCUAGUUUUCUUUGUCACCAUGGCAACCAGAUUCUUGGCUGAAACUGGAUCCCUGGAGUAGAGACGGGGUUUCACCAUGUUGGCCAAGGAUGGUCUCGAUCUCUUGACUUUGCAAUCUGCCUGUAUCGGCCUCCCAAGAAGCACUGAGUUUUAAAACCCUGCAAAGCAUAUCUUGUAAGGAAUUGGUCUGACCGCCCUUCUCUGGUCUCUGAGAGAGGAAGACAGUCUCUGCAGGCUGCAUGCCUUCCAGAAUCUUCCUUCGACACUGAGGGGAGUGUGCUUCUGAUUGGUGUAUAUUGACUUGGUGUAUGAAAAGGAAGAUAGAAACAAAAAUAUACAGAAAACAACCAGUUAAUUUUUCUUAUUUCUUUUUUUUUGAG